CUGGGCAAAUCCGGUGGCCAGAGAGCGCUCGCCAGGGUCGGGCGGAGCUCGCGCAACGGGGCUUCGUCCGGCCAGGUGGGCACACUAGCAGCGCUGGCUGCGGCUGAGCGCAGGGCUGGCAAGGGGCAGGUUCAGGGGAUCUUCAGGCGAGCUCCACGCAGGGGAAGGGAGCCACCGGGGCGCUGUGUCGCUCGGCCUCUGGCCAGGACGCACGCAUCCACGGGAGGGAGCAGGCCGCUAUGUCGGGAUUCGCAGGGAGCUAGGAGUCCGAGGGGGUUGAAGACGACGAAGUCUUACCUUGCGACGACGCACGGCAGGAAGAGUCUUCCGCGGCGGUGCUCAACAGCGAACUCGGCGGGGCUCCCAGCGCGCAGCGAGCUCAAGUCUAGGCGCGACGUAUGA
rnacentral:misc_RNA from 1 species